GGGAUUUUAGUUUAAUAAAAAAUAUGUAAUUUGCAUUUAUGAGAUAUUAGUUCUAU
rnacentral:tRNA from 1 species